ACAACCCCUUUAAAAGGACGUGGUUCGACUCUGCUGGCCUCAAUUUAGCUGCAGAAGAGACGCUGAUCUUCACCAACUUCCAGUGGAAUCAUGAAGUCCCAUCAGAUCUCUGCCUUCUGCCUCCUGAUGACAGUGCUGCUGUCCUCCACUCUGGCUCAAAAUGGCAACAGACCAGACCAGUGCUGUUUUAGACACUAUCCUGGAGAACUGCACAUAAACCAGAUAACUGGAUAUAAAGAGACCAGAAAGGACUGCAGUGAACCUGGAAUUAUAAUUUACACCAGAAAGGAGAAUGAAGUGUGUGUCGAUCCCAAAAAUCAUUGGGUUCAGGAGAUCAAGAAGAAGCUUGAUCACCCCCUCAGUAAGUCGGAUCACCCCCUCAGUAAGCCGGAUCAGUAACGCCUCCUGACUGCUUGGCAAAACACAAAGAAUUAUUUCAUUUUGGCUUUUGGUUAUUUCAUUUUGGCUUCUGCAUUAAUUCUCCAGGAACAUUACCUUCUGUCGUCUUUCAAAACAUACAUUUUUACUGCAGUUUAUAUUUAAUGUUGUGUAAACAGGUAAAUUCAAAUAUAUGGCUUUGCAUGCAUGUUACUGAAUAAAAAAAUAUCGGAAGGUUA